rnacentral:rRNA from 1 species
GAUGAACGCUGGCGGCGUGCUUAACACAUGCAAGUCGAACGGUGAAGCAGGAGCUUGCUCUUGUGGAUCAGUGGCGAACGGGUGAGUAACACGUGAGCAACCUGCCCCUGACUCUGGGAUAAGCGCUGGAAACGGCGUCUAAUACUGGAUAUGUGAUGUGACCGCAUGGUCUGCAUCUGGAAAGAAUUUCGGUUGGGGAUGGGCACGCGGCCUAUCAGCUUGUUGGUGAGGUAAUGGCUCACCAAGGCGUCGACGGGUAGCCGGCCUGAGAGGGUGACCGGCCACACUGGGACUGAGACACGGCCCAGACUCCUACGGGAGGCAGCAGUGGGGAAUAUUGCACAAUGGGCGGAAGCCUGAUGCAGCAACGCCGCGUGAGGGAUGACGGCCUUCGGGUUGUAAACCUCUCUUAGCAGGGAAGAAGCGAAAGUGACGGCACCUGCAGAAAAAGCACCGGCUAACUACGUGCCAGCAGCCGCCGUAA